AAGACCUUGCACUUUUGGAGCGGCCGAUGUCUGAUUAGCUAGUUGGUGGGGUAACGGCCUACCAAAGCUUCGAUCAGUAGCUGGUCUGAGAGGACGGCCAGCCACACUGGGACUGAGACACGGCCCAGACUCCUACGGGAGGCAGCAGUGGGGAAUUUUGGACAAUGGGCGCAAGCCUGAUCCAGCCAUGCCGCGUGAGUGAAGAAGGCCUUCGGGUUGUAAAGCUCUUUCAGCCGGGAAGAAAAGGUUGCGACUAAUAAUCGCAAUCCAUGACGGUACCGAAAGAAGAAGCACCGGCUAACUACGUGCCAGCAGCCGCGGUAAUACGUAGGGUGCGAGCGUUAAUCGGAAUUACUGGGCGUAAAGGGUGCGCAGGCGGUUUUGUAAGUCAGAUGUGAAAUCCCCGGGCUUAACCUGGGAACU
rnacentral:rRNA from 1 species